AUUGAACGCUGGCGGCAGGCCUAACACGUGCAAGUCGAACGGCAGCGGGAAAGUAGCUUGCUACUUUUGCCGGCGAGCGGCGGACGGGUGAGUAAUGCCUGGGGAUCUGCCCAGUCGAGGGGGAUAACUACUGGAAACGGUAGCUAAUACCGCAUACGCCCUACGGGGGAAAGCAGGGGACCUUCGGGCCUUGCGCGAUUGGAUGAACCCAGGUGGGAUUAGCUAGUUGGUGAGGUAACGGCUCACCAAGGCGACGAUCCCUAGCUGGUCUGGGAGGAUGAUCAGCCACGCUGGAACGGGGACACGGUCCAGACUCCUACGGGAGGCAGCAGUGGGGGAUAUUGCACAAUGGGGGAAACCCUGAUUCAGCCAUGCCGCGUGUGUGAAGAAGGCCUUCGGGUUGUAAAGCACUUUCAGCGAGGAGGAAAGGUUGGUAGCUAAUAACUGCCAGCUGUGACGUUACUCGCAGAAGAAGCACCGGCUAACUCCGUGCCAGCCGCCGCGGUAACAC
rnacentral:rRNA from 1 species